AUGUGAGUGUGGCCACGUUAUGUCAGUUUUUGGUCUAAAACGUCAGCGCAGCCAGACGUUUCACUGGCGCGAGACAAUCCCAGUAUUCUUGGGACUACCUCAUGUUUUUUGUCUCUGUUGAUACGGCAAAGUUCUUGUAGAAGGCAGGCGUCGUUUAUGUUGGAGACUGGAUCAAUAGUGAGUUAGUGAGUCAACUUCGACGUCCGACGAGCUAUCAUUGCAUGAAGUAGUGGACAGAGAUUCGUUGCAGUUGCUUCGAGAAAGACAGAAGCCAUUUGCACAUAAGAGGAACAGCACUGCUCCCAGUACUUAUCCUUGGAACAUCGCGUUUCAUAUCUUGAUUUCUCACAGACUGUCUACCUGUGAAUACCACGUGCGUCAGAGCUCUACGGUCCCCACUUGCUGCCAGCCAGCAGUGGCUCCGUGGCAGCACUCCACUCCCUCGCAUUUCGUCGAAGACAUCAGCUGCCGCUAAUCACUUUGGAGAGUAUAAAAUGUUUGCUAUUGUUGAAUGAUGCUCCACAAAAAAGUCUAUGAUUUGUAUUUCAUGCUCAAUAGCAUCAAAAGCAGACAUGCACAUACAUCUCAAAAUUGUUAUAGUUUGUGAUCCCA